GUGACGGGAGCCGCCGGGCGCUGAGGCCGCGGGAGGGUUGGGGGCUGCGGCCUGAGUGGGAGAGGGGAACAGGUCAGCGCCGACCCUGAGCCUCGGCAAACACCCAUGGUUCCAGACGUCCGAAGACACAGAAAUGCUCAAGAUACGCACAGAGGAGCCAGGCGUGGUGGAGCACACCUAUAACCCCACUACUUGGGAGGCUGGGCCUGAAGGAUCAUGUGUUUGAGGCCAUUUCGAGCUACAUACCGAGUUCAAGUUACAGGCCCAACAAUAUCUGUACCAGGCUGGGAGGUGUGAUCACCCAGUGGCAGAGUGCUUGCCUAGCCUGCCUAACGCCCUGCGUUGGGAUCCCCAGCUUCCGAAAACAAAAAGAUGGCUUAUUGUUGGUUUCCUCUCCCACAGGCCUGACCACUGCAGGUAUGCCCCUGAGCCUCACCUUGGCCCAAGAUUUCCCUGGAUAUAGCCACUUGACUGCAGUAGUCUCGGACACCUAGGACUCUGAACACCCCUGAUGAAUUUCCCUACAGCUCCCGCCUGUCCUCUAAAGAACUCUAGAUGACAAACUUCUUCCACCAUAUUUCUGGGAACUCUGCUUCUCCCAGGGUCCUCAGUUAUUAGAAGCAGCAGUGCCUGAGGCAGAGCAAGGACAAGCAUUUCUAGCGGGCCCCCACAGCCA
ensembl:lncRNA